rnacentral:rRNA from 1 species
AUUGAACGCUGGCGGCAUGCUUUACACAUGCAAGUCGGACGGCAGCACAGAGAAGCUUGCUUCUCGGGUGGCGAGUGGCGAACGGGUGAGUAACAUAUCGGAACGUACCGAGUAGUGGGGGAUAACUGAUCGAAAGAUCAGCUAAUACCGCAUACGUCUUGAGAGAGAAAGCAGGGGACCUUCGGGUCUUGCGCUAUUCGAGCGGCCGAUAUCUGAUUAGCUAGUUGGUGGGGUAAAGGCUCACCAAGGCGACGAUCAGUAGCGGGUCUGAGAGGAUGAUCCGCCACACUGGGACUGAGACACGGCCCAGACUCCUACGGGAGGCAGCAGUGGGGAAUUUUGGACAAUGGGCGCAAGCCUGAUCCAGCCAUGCCGCGUGUCUGAAGAAGGCCUUCGGGUUGUAAAGGACUUUUGUCAGGGAAGAAAAGGCUGUUGCUAAUACCAGCGGCUGAUGACGGUACCUGAAGAAUAAGCACCGGCUAACUACGUGCCAGCAGCCGCGGUAAUACGUAGGGUGCGAGCGUUAAU